UGGUGGGUAGUUUGACUGGGGCGGUCUCCUCCUAAAGAGUAACGGAGGAGCACGAAGGUUGGCUAAUCCUGGUCGGACAUCAGGAGGUUAGUGCAAUGGCAUAAGCCAGCUUGACUGCGAGCGUGACGGCGCGAGCAGGUGCGAAAGCAGGUCAUAGUGAUCCGGUGGUUCUGAAUGGAAGGGCCAUCGCUCAACGGAUAAAAGGUACUCCGGGGAUAACAGGCUGAUACCGCCCAAGAGUUCAUAUCGACGGCGGUGUUUGGCACCUCGAUGUCGGCUCAUCACAUCCUGGGGCUGAAGUAGGUCCCAAGGGUAUGGCUGUUCGCCAUUUAAAGUGGUACGCGAGCUGGGUUUAGAACGUCGUGAGACAGUUCGGUCCCUAUCUGCCGUGGGCGCUGGAGAACUGAGGGGGGCUGCUCCUAGUACGA
rnacentral:rRNA from 2 species